CCGAGGGAGAUACACGGAUCACUCUAACCAUAGCCAGCUCACUUUACACAUGUUUUUGAACUAAAUUUGUCACCGGAGAUUGUCGGAGGAGUUCCUCUGUCACAGAACAGGAUUGUCACCAUGUUGUAGAGCUGGACUCAACACGCUAGCAAAAGUUGAUCUAGAGAUUUUUUUUCAAACUAAAAUGUGUGUAUGAAGGCAGAUACAUCACUUGCCAAAUUGAAUAUAUUUGGGGAGCCCAGACUAUACCAGGUCUACUGGGGUUUUCAUUACACGGAGCGAGAAUAAUAGAUCGCCCGCUUACUACUACAACACAAACGGUUUUCUAUCGAACCCAUUGAAAAUCGCCGGCAAUUUACAGUAUUUCCAAACGUGAGAUAAUUGUGUAAGCCUUGUCCUCUUCGGAGUUGAAUGCACUGAAAACUGAAUAUUGAAUUGUUAUUGUGACUGUGUGAGUUAGUGAAACCUGUAACAGGAGUCUAAGCUUAGGUGACUGGGGUUUGUCACACGUACGACUCCAGAGUACAGAGCCACUCUCAGGCAGUCAGGCGUGGCGGUGCUCAGGACGUGUAAAAAGGCAAACCAGCGCGACACCGAAGCAGGCACAGCAGCCAGGCGUGCAUGUUGUUACCACGGCAAGUGUGUACCCACGGUUACAGUUAGUGUGCUGUGGACUGGCAAACACCAGUCACUCCGAGAUAGACAGAAGGACAGACGGAGGUGUGUAGUAGAACACUCUAUCCUGCACGUCUAUCUACACCAAUAGACCCGAGUGUGUACCACACAGACACGGAGGAUCAAGUCAAUUAAGUACCGGAGCAGUGCGUGUGUGUAUCGGACUUUCGAUCUGGAUCAUCUCAGCACCAUUGCCGCGUUACAACUUGCUGCAUCUCCGACCUCGGUAGCCAGUGUCGCUCCUCGCCUCAAAACACUAUCUGUUGGCUCUAGGAGGUACCUUGGAUCCGGAGUCAGGAUGCACCCCUACCUCUACGUACAGUACCCGUAUGUACCAAUGCCUAUCAAGCAGGACCAGCUCGUGGAAAUGAAGGUCAACUGGGCCACCUCUCCAAGUAAUCAGCCCAAACAAGACACAAGCAAACAUUUCCAUAUAUUUGUGGGAGACCUCAGUCCAGAUAUAGAAACACACCAACUCAAAGAAGCUUUUGGAGCUUUUGGGGAAAUAUCUGACUGUAAGAUCAUCAGAGACCCACAGACGUUGAAAUCCAAGGGAUAUGGUUUUGUCUCAUUCGUUAAAAAAUCAGAUGCAGAAACAGCAAUUAAUGGAAUGAAUGGACAGUGGCUAGGAUCUCGGGCUAUACGAACCAACUGGGCAACCAGGAAACCCCCCGCACCUGUACCGAAAGAAACUGUGAAACAGAUGUCAUAUGACGAAGUAUAUAACCAGUCAAGUGCUACAAACUGUACCGUCUACUGUGGUGGAAUAGCUAAUGGUCUAACAGAAGAUCUUGUACGUCAAACAUUCAGCACCUAUGGCACAAUACAAGAAGUGCGGGUAUUCAAAGAUAAAGGCUAUGCUUUCAUUAGAUUUUCCACAAAAGAAGCAGCUGCUCAAGCCAUAUGUUCUGUGCAUGGUACAAUGGUAAACGACCAGCAAGUCAAGUGUUCCUGGGGAAAAGAGUCCAACGACCCUAGUCAAAACAGUACUGGAGGCCCAGCCACACCCCUGCCCACACAGAACAGUCCCGCCCAGCAGAGUCCACAGCAGCAGUAUUCCACAAGCUCGCCCUCCUCUUAUUCCCCUUACUUCAACAUGGGCUACUACUUCCCCGGGGCCUACCAGAAUAUGGCACAGGGCAGCUACAUGCAGGCUGGGGGGAUCAACCAGUGGCCUGCAGGCUACAACUACCAGACAUACAGUAUGCCGACAGCUGUCCAACAGUGGGGACAGGUCCAGAUGCAGCCGGGCCAACAGCAGCAGUUUAAUGGCCAGCAGCCCGGCAUGAUGGGAUACCCAAUGCAGCAAGAUGAAGGCGUGGAAACAGGUGUCGGCGGAAUGAUGGCCCUUAAUUAUCUCAAGUCCGCUCCGUGACGAGACCCCGCACCGAGACCAGGAAUGAUGAGAGAACAGAGGGUGGAUACAAGAGUUAGAUUAAAGAUUCCAGCAAGCUCAGUGAUCAUGACUUACCGCGUUCCAUCUACCAUCAACUGCCACGCAUCAUCCCUGGUCGUACUCGGCUAAUCCUGGUCGUGGCACCGCUUCCUGGACUACUACCUUAUACUGCUGGAGGCUGUUUACUCAGCCUGUGAUGUGUCCUUUGCGGGAGGAACAGCUAACAGCACAAAAUGCAACUUCGCUAAAAUAUUUGAUAAUUCUUUUAAUAGAGAUUUAUACAGUUAUUAAUCUAAAGACUAAUAUUGGUACUUGUUGAAUUACCCAAAUUUUGAUAAGAUAAAAUUGAAAUUCUUUUACAUACAUUUUGUUAAUUUAAAAUGUUAAAAUUGAUUAUGUAAGCAACAUUUUAAUAUAAUAAAGCUGUUUAGGGAGUGGGAGGGCAGAGUUUUAUUAUUUAUUUUAGGAGAAGUUGCUGACUGUACUUUUAGCAUCACCAUCUCAUCAACUCUGUAUAUAGGUGUAUUAACAUGUAGAAGUUUAUAAUUUGAUGAGGAUGGUGUACGAUUCAGGUUCUCAUUGAGAUGCGACAGUUGUGGCAUGUCAUGUAUUGCCAUGUCGGCUGUGGAAUGAUGCUGUAACAAUUUAGGUUCUCAAGGAGAUGUGACGGUUGUGGCAUUUUGUGUAUUAUUGUGUGGGCUGUGGAAUCUGACUGUGUCUACCAUGGCUCAUAGCUUCAGGACAAGUUAUACAGACAUUCAAAACACUGCUGUCUCAUGUCCCAGGAUAUUCUAUUGCUUACACCCAAAUCAUGUGGACAAGUUGUUUGUAACUUUCUACUGAUGAUUUAGGAUACAGAAUGUCUGUAAAAUAACUUGUACACUGACAACAGUUGUUUGCUGUCAACUUUUAAACUUACAACUAUUGUUCAGUGUUAAAUUUGUAUACUGACUCUUGUUGUUUGGUGAUAACUUGUACACUGACAACUGUUGUUUGGUGAUAACUUGUACACUGACAACUGUUGUUUGGUGAUAACUUGUACACUGACACCUGUUGUUUGGUGAUAACUUGUACACUGACUCUUGUUGUUUGGUGAUAACUUGUACACUGACUCUUGUUGUUUGGUGAUAACUUGUACACUGACACCUGUUGUUUGGUGGUUAACUUGUACACUGGCAACUGUUGGUUGGUGAUAACUUGUACACUGACACCUGUUGUUUGGUGAUAACUUGUACACUGACAACUGUUGGUUGGUGAUAACUUGUACACUGACAACUGUUGUUUUGUGGUUAACUUGUACACUGACACCUGUUGUUUGGUGGUUAAUUUGUACACUGACACCUGUUGUUUGGUGGUUGACUUGUACACUGACACCUGUUGUUUGGUGGUUGACCUGUACCCUGACAACUGUUGUUUGGUGGUUGACUUGUAAGUACACUGAUAACUGUUGUUUGGUGGUUAACUUGUACACUGACACCUGUUGUUUGGUGGUUGACUUGUACACUGACACCUGUUGUUUGGUGGUUGACUUGUACCCUGACAACUGUUGUUUGGUGGUUGACUUGUAAGUACACUGAUAACUGUUGUUUGGUGGUUAACUUGUACACUGACACCUGUUGUUUGGUGGUUGACUUGUUGACUUAUGACUGCUUAAGUUGAUUAACUUGUAACUGUUGUUUGUUGGUUAUUUUGUAACAGAUGUUAGUCAACUUAUAAAGUCAUGUUGCCUGUAAAUUAAUUGGUAACAACAUUAUUAAUUUUGUUUAAGUUUUCAAUUUUUAAAACUGCUGUAUAGGUAUUUCGUAAACAACAUUACAUCUGAUUUAUAUAAGGUUUGGAAGCUUACGUCUACAAGUUACCCAUUACAACAGGAGCUAGGAGCUUUGGUUAGAGAAGUCACUUGUAUUGUAUAGUGCCACACCGUCGUAACCCAGGAGGAGGACAGUGUUGUUUAUGUUGAUGAUGAUUAUAUAUAGUGUGUGAUCAUGGCUGUCCGCCGGAUCAAAAGGUUCAACAAUUCUCAAGAGGUUCAACAAUUCAAGCUGUGUGCCUGAUGGUACACCAGGCAGGUUGAUACUGACAACAGAUUUGUUGGAUCACCAGAUAUGUGGGUCCGGCGGAUCGGCCAUUGUCCUUGUAGAUAUUGUACCAAUACUAAUAUAAAAAUGGAUGGUUUAUCGGAAGUUAUAUCAAUUCUGAAUCAAUGCUCAUGAUGUAUUUAUUAUAUGUAGUGAGGCUGUGUAAGCGAGAGAUCACAGGCACCACUAGGAGGCAGUCACUGUAUUGUCGUCACUAGGGGGUAGCACUUGCAGUGUUGCCACUAGGGGGCAGUAUAGGAUUAACUCUAUGUGGUGGGAGUCUGUUGUUGUAAAACUUGUUUCCCCUCAGUUACAGUUUGUGAGUAUAAGAUGAAGUUAUUAAAGCCCUCCGGGCUCAUUAGUGUGAUUGAGUCAAGCUAUAAGUUCAGUUGUAUAUUGAGUGAAGUUAGAAGAUCAGAUUUUUAUUGUUUUUAUAUGUGGGAGUGUGAAUGGCAGAUUUAAAUGCGUAUACAAUGACAUGGUAAUGAUUUUAUAUGAGAUCAUGCACAGAAUUGGACUAGGAUGUUUCAAAUGAAUGAAUUAUUUUUCAUUUUAUUAUAUGAUAAAUGUCGCAGUUGUUGAAAGUCGUAUAUUAUUAUUAUUAUUAUUAUUGGUGUCCAAGGAAAGACAAGUAUUAACAGCUAAGUAGGAAUAAAUUAUUUAUACGUGUUUUCACCAAAUUCCGACGGUGAGUCAUAUUGUCUAGUGGACAACACUCAUCGCCAUCAUGUAUCUAUAGCAUCAACUUUAUGUUCUGUUUUAUUUGUACAAUGUUAAUUGUGUAAAAAAAAAGUUUUUUAAGACGUGAGAACAUUUCGUUAUGCCACAUAUGGCUGCUGCAAUGCGUAUAUUUUGAUACAAGGGGUAUUGUAGAUUAUUAGAUACUGGUUUGGUAGAGCUGAAUGGUUAUUUAUCAUUGCUAGUAACAUGUGUCGUUGUAAAUAGGAAAUCAUUGAUUGUAGUUAGUAGGGACAUCCCGUUGUCAUACAUCGUCAUGGUUACAUUGGAAGCCCCUGUGUCAUAUGUUGUCAUGGUUACUUAGGGACCUACCUGGGAGUCCUCUCAUCACAGUGGUGUGGUUCAUCAUUCUGGGCUGUCGUUGUAUCGUGGCUUAGUCAUCAUGGUCGUCCUACAUGUGGUACGUGGUUUGUGUGAAGCGUCAGUGAUCUGUGUCGUUGUGGCGCUACCAGGCCCCGGCCUGACAUGGAGUGUUGUAAUGUAUAUCCCAGGAUUGCCUCGUUCUAUAUCCAGAUGUGUUCUAUUUAUGUAUAUAACUGGAAAUUAAAAAUGAGACAUGGAAAAGUCUGGGCUAGCACAGCUCAUACAAGGCGUCAUUGUGUUAGCAGACCCUGCAUGUCGACCUUUAUAUAUCGACAGUGUGUUACAGAAAUCAUCCUCUUGUUUAAGUGCUACAAGGACAGCUUCUAUAUCGAUAUGCAAACUUAGGUUAACUAGUUAAAAGUGUGCCAUAUAGUGUUGUGGCAAACCCAAUGUGCCAUUUUAUAAUGUCAUCAGCUGUUAGCUCUAGUGUCAAGGUCAUGACCUUUGUAUCUAAUGUCAUGGCCUCUAAGGUGAUCAGAUCUUGUUUCCAUAUAGCCAGAUUUUCUCCUACUAGUAUGUAUGAAGUGGAGUUUCACUUAAAGCUGAGUGAUUCUGGGGCCAGAUAGGGCUGCACACAUUUUCUUUAUAGAUUCUAAAAGUUUUCAUGUUUUUACCUGAAAUUCCCCCUCCAGUGUUCAAAAUCAUUACUUUUGCGAUGUUAGGAUAAGUAAACACAUCUUGAUAGAAAAUAAGAACUGUUAGGUGUUUGGCCCAAGCAGUGUGUUGAUCUCAUCAUUUCUGUGAUACCUAGUCUGUGAUGGCCGAGACUUUUCCAUGUUAGAACACAUCACACAUGUGUACAUAAACAUUGUGGGAGUAUUGUAGUAGUCAUCAGUUACUCAUACACCCUAGGAUUUACUGGUCAGCCUCGUACUAAUCUUUUGUACGAAAUGUUGGAUAUUCCGAUUCACAUAAACUCUUGUUUUGAUAACAAGCUAAAAUUUCGUCUCUGUUCACAUGAGGCCAGUACCAGCAACUAGUAUCAGGGAGCUUGUAAGCUUUCUGUGAACUGUGAUAUAGGUCUUCAUAAUACAGCUAGUCCCUGUAGACGGAUGUUUUCAUUGUACUUUAAAUGGUUAUACUGAUGUGAUAAUGUUCAUCGAUUUGUUUAAUCAGUGUUUUAACGAACCCAUUUAAUCUGAAAUUAGAUUUUCUACUACAGACAUUUUUAUUGGUGUGAGCAGAUGAUGGCCUAGAGGUUCAGCGCUUGUGUAGAGGUGUUAUGGGGGUGUUGUCCCUGUGUUUUAUACUUUAUACAAAAUCAGCUCAACUUUCUAUGUUGUGUAUAGAGGCAAUGUCUUAACACGACCGCUCUAUCUUCUGUCAGGUACACUCUCAGGGCUACAGGGGAUCAACCCAUCUUCUAAAUGAUUUCGCGGGUAGCCAGAGAUAUCCUCAUCACAAGAUUUGGUGUCUCAGAUUUUACCUCAUUUAUAAAUCAUAACUAAAGUCUCCCCCAGCUGUGGCCAUGAAUUGAUCUAUUAGAUAAAGGGAAAUUUUAUAUCUGUUGGAUAUCUUGACAGAAUUCAUGUUAAUAGGUCUGUUUGAUGUUAGCACUGAAAACCAACCCAUAGGAGUGUCAUCAAAUGUUAGAACAUUGUUUGCUGUCACUCAGCCUAACUUCAGAAUGUCUUCAUAUGAAAUGUACAUACAUGUUAUUGCUAGUCCAAACCAGACUGUUGUAGUUGGCGUUGUUAAUCUGAGUGUGUCAUUAUACCGUUACAUGUCCGGACCUCCAAUCUUCUGUAGGAUAUGUUCAGACAUUUUUUCAGCUGUAAGCAACAGGACCAUAUUUUGAUUUUUUAAGUUUUUACUGAAAGUAAAUCUGCUCAAUUUCAGUGUGUACACAAAAGCAGAAAUCGGUCUGAAGAAUCCAAACUUCCAGUGUUCAUACAGACUUCCUAUAGAAAUUCAGCCUGAAUCUGGUGAUAAAGUUGUUACAAUACAUCAAAUAGAUUCAGAAAAUCAUAUUUAGUCACGGAAAUAGUUCAAAGUUAAAAUUUGUAAUAAAUGUUUUGAUGAUCCUUGAUUCACAAGAUCUGUUACAUUGUGUAAUAUUUAGUCUGUAUAAAGUGACGUACCCUGAGAGGUGACACAUCCUUGUUAGACCGUGUACAUACUAUAUAAUUUAUGCAGUACUGUCACAUAACUAACUAAUACAUCUGGCACUUUCCUGGUCAAUCAUGUGUGUCCUUCAGACGUUCUCCUUCAGUGACUUUCUCCUUCAGACGUUCUCCUUCAGUGACUUUCUCAUUACCUUAUGCUUCCUGGUUAAAGAAUUAAUACUAAUAUUGUGAUUCUUAUGAAAUUUAAAGAAUCUGAAGGUUGUUUUGGUCUCAAAAUUUAACAAUAGAUUAUAAGAUAUAAUGAUUUGAUUUUCAGUCCUUUAAAUGAUGUGAACACAAUGAUUGUUGGACACACACGUUUGACGAUAGGUGCGAGUCUAACCAUCACUUAUGACAAUUAUGUGUAGGACCAGUCUGUAAUAUACAGAAGUCGUUUUAUCCGUGAGGCCUGGUGCUUCAGCAAAUUGUACAUAGAGUUAUAGGAGCGGGGUGGAUGUGGAGUUAUCUCCCUUACCAAAGUUAUCUAGUGACAGCAGUCACGAUAGAUGACGAGGAAACAGGUGUAAACAGGUGUAUUAUAGCUUGUUUCUACAUUUACCAUCAAAUAACGUAAUUUUACAAUCAGUCGGAAACCUCUUUAUCCGUGAAGGGAGAUAACUCCAAUCUGCCAUGUAUUGUGUGGGGGUGUUCGAACCUGAUGGUUGAGAGCCCUUGUGAAGGAUCAGUGUGAUUGUGUACACUCCAUUAUCCAUAUGUCCAGUUCAUUUUGUGUUUAUCAGAACGGUGUAGUCCGCUCUGUUCAUUGUACCACAGCAAAAACAAAAAUAAAAAGCAUGGGAAGUCGA